rnacentral:rRNA from 1 species
GAUGAACGCUGACAGAAUGCUUAACACAUGCGAGUCAACUUGAAUUUGGGUUUUUAACUUAGGUUUGGGUGGCGGACGGGUGAGUAACGCGUAAAGAACUUGCCUCACAGCUAGGGACAACAUUUGGAAACGAAUGCUAAUACCUAAUAUUAUGAUAAUAGGGCAUCCUAUAAUUAUGAAAGCUAUAAGCGCUGUGAGAGAGCUUUGCGUCCCAUUAGCUAGUUGGAGAGGUAACGGCUCACCAAGGCGAUGAUGGGUAGCCGGUCUGAGAGGGUGAUCGGCCACAAGGGGACUGAGACACGGCCCUUACUCCUACGGGAGGCAGCAGUGGGGAAUAUUGGACAAUGGACCGAGAGUCUGAUCCAGCAAUUCUGUGUGCACGAUGAAGUUUUUCGGAAUGUAAAGUGCUUUCAGUUGGGAAGAAACAAAUGACGGUACCAACAGAAGAAGUGACGGCUAAAUACGCG